rnacentral:rRNA from 1 species
GGCUGCCUACGGGGGGCAGCAGUGAGGAAUAUUGGUCAAUGGGCGGGAGCCUGAACCAGCCAAGUCGCGUGAGGGAAGAAGGUACUGAGUAUUGUAAACCUCUUUUGCCAGGGGACAAAGGCGGCCACGGGUGGCCGUAAGAGGGUACCUGGAGAAAAAGCAUCGGCUAACUCCGUGCCAGCAGCCGCGGUAAUACGGAGGAUGCGAGCGUUAUCCGGAUUUACUGGGUGUAAAGGGCGUGCAGCCGGGAAGACAAGUCAGAUGUGAAAUCCCGCGGCUCAACCGCGGAACUGCAUUUGAAGCUG